AACGAACGCUGGCGGCAUGCCUAACACAUGCAAGUCGUACGAGACCUUCGGGUCUAGUGGCGCACGGGUGCGUAACGCGUGGGAACCUGCCCUUAGGUUCGGAAUAACUCCCCGAAAGGGGUGCUAAUACCGGAUAAUGUCUUCGGACCAAAGAUUUAUCGCCUUUGGAUGGGCCCGCGUUGGAUUAGCUAGUUGGUAGGGUAAAAGCCUACCAAGGCGACGAUCCAUAGCUGGUCUGAGAGGAUGAUCAGCCUCACUGGGACUGAGACACGGCCCAGACUCCUACGGGAGGCAGCAGUGGGGAAUAUUGGACAAUGGGCGAAAGCCUGAUCCAGCAAUGCCGCGUGAGUGAUGAAGGCCUUAGGGUUGUAAAGCUCUUUUACCCGGGAUGAUAAUGACAGUACCGGGAGAAUAAGCUCCGGCUAACUCCGUG
rnacentral:rRNA from 1 species